CUUCAUGAUUCACGCAGGUGAAAGGAAGCGAGCAGACUGUGCGCGCGGGACUGGGAACGACGAAGGCGAAACUAUACUCACCCGUCGAGGCAAAAAACGACUGAAACAUUGCCGGCUGUAGCAGCACCGUUUAUAAACGAACACAACACAUCCCCACCGUGUCCUCCGGUCCGGAAAACUCGAGAAUAAUAACAGAGGAUCACGUAGCGGCAAUCUUCGAAAUUGGUCGCGCCUCCGCACUCUUCGCCAAGCGGAAUUGCUAAGUGUUGCGAUUUCGUUGGAAAUGGAACGAAACGCAAAGUGGAAAGAAGCGAAAGGCAAGGCUUUGUGUAUUGGGCUGGAGACGGCUGAACGUCUUUAUUUGGACGGCAAGCGUGUAUACAUUGUUAAGACUUCUCUUGUAUGAGCCGAGUUUCCUCCAUGAUAUAGUUUUGCAACAGUUGUUCGUAAUCCGGCCAGGAUUCAUCGUGUUCCUCGAAGGCUCUUCGUAUUUGGCACUGAAGCGUCGAGCAUUCUUUAUCUGAGCUCGAUCGUGGUUUAUCCAUAUCGACUCCGUAUUGCUUCAUCGCGUCGUGCACAACCAAGGUUAAGCGAUUCAAUCUGUCCCACACUAUCGAGUUUGCUAAAAGUGUAAAAAUAAUUCUCUAAAAUAUGCACUUUCGCAAUUAGCA